CAGCCGCCGCGGUAAAACCAGUACCUCAAGUGGUCAGGAUGAUUAUUGGGCCUAAAGCAUCCGUAGCCGGCUCUGUAAGUUUUCGGUUAAAUCUGUACGUUUAACGUACAGGCUGCCGGGAAUACUGCAAAGCUAGGGAGUGGGAGAAGUAGACGGUACUCGGUAGGAAGUGGUAAAAUGCUUUGAUCUAUCGAUGACCACCUGUGGCGAAGGCGGUCUACUAGAACACGUCCGACGGUGAGGGAUGAAAGCUGGGGGAGCAAACCGGAUUAGAUACCCGGGUAGUCCCAGCUGUAAACUAUGCAAACUCAGUGAUGCAUUGGCUUGUGGCCAAUACAGUGCUGCAGGGAAGCCGUUAAGUUUGCCGCCUGGGAAGUACGUACGCAAGUAUGAAACUUAAAGGAAUUGGCGGGGGAGCAC
rnacentral:rRNA from 2 species